UGGCCCCCGCAGCCCGGCCGGCGGCUCCAGCGAGCCCCGGGAGGCGACCGCCGCCAUGGCCACCGCCGGGGCGCUGGCAGGUCUGGCCGCGGGUUUGCAGGGCCCACGGGCUGUGCCCAGCGCGGACUCGGACUCAGACACAGACUCGGAGGACCCGAGCACCCGCCGCAGCGCGGGCGGGCGGCUCCGCUCGCAGGUCAUCCACAGCGGUCACUUCAUGGUGUCGUCGCCGCACAGCGACUCGCUGACCCGACGGCGGGACCAGGAGGGGCCCGUGGGGCUCGCCGACUUCGGGCCGCGCAGCAUCGACCCCACACUCACCCGCCUCUUCGAGUGCAUGAGCCUGGCCUACAGUGGAAAGCUGGUGUCUCCCAAGUGGAAGAAUUUCAAAGGUCUCAAGCUGCUCUGCCGAGACAAGAUCCGCCUCAACAACGCCAUCUGGAGAGCCUGGUAUAUCCAGUACGUGGAGAGGAGGAAGAGCCCCGUGUGUGGCUUUGUGACCCCCCUGCAGGGGCCUGAGGCUGACGCGCAUCGGAAACCGGAGGCUGUGGUCCUGGAAGGAAAUUACUGGAAGCGGCGCAUCGAGGUGGUGAUGCGCGAGUACCACAAGUGGCGCAUCUACUACAAGAAACGGCUCCGUAAGUCCAGCAGGGAAGGGGACCUCCUGGCCCCAAAGCAGGCAGUGAACUGGGUCCGCCAGAGAGAGGCGAGGACGGUGCAAAGAGAGGCCGUCUGGCUGGCUGACGACUUCAUCCCCCAGGUGGAAGGGGGAUGGCAGCCACCAGAGCGAUGGUGCGAGCAGCUCUUCUCCAGCGUGGUGCCUGUGCUGCUGGGGGGGCCAGAGGAGGACCCCGGUGGGCGGCAGCUUCUGGACCUCGAUUGCUUUUUGUCCGACAUCUCUGACACGCUCUUCACCAUGACUCAGCCCAGCCCCACACCCUUGCAGCUGCCCCCCGAGGACGCCUACGUUGGCAACGCCGACAUGAUCCAGCCGGAGCUGACACCUCUGCAGCCCAGCCUGGACGACUUUAUGGAGAUCUCAGAUUUCUUCACCAACUACCGCCCCUCUCAGACAGCCACGCCUUCAAACUUCCUGGAGCCCCCCAGUUUCAGUCCCAUGGCGGACUCCCUUUUCAGCAGUGGGAUCCUGGGCUCAGAGGUGCCCCCCGCCUCCUCGGGCAUGAGCCACCUCUCAGGGCAUAACCACCAGCAGGCUCGGAGCAGCUGCCCUGGCUCCCUGGACUCCAGUGUCUUCCUGAGUUCUGACUUCCUCCUUUCUGAAGACCCCAAGCCUAAACUCCCUCCCUGUCCCACACCCCCACCCCUCCUACAAUACCCUGCCCCUGCCAAAGGGCCUGGCCUGGAGCCCUGUCCCCUACCCCUCUUCCCUUCCAUGGCCCCGCCCCCUGCUAUGCUGCAAGAAGAGCCUCUCUUCUCUCCCAGAUUCUCCUUCCCAACAGUCCCUCCUGCGUCAGGAGUGUCCCCGCUGCCUGCUCCCACAACCUUCUCACCUACCCCACAGUCUGGCACAGGCCCUGCCCCGACCCACUUCCCCAUGGACCUUCUAUCCUCGGGGUAUCCAGAGCCCCCCUUUGGGCCUCACUUCACAAUGCCCCAAGGUGUGCAGCCCAGAGGCAAGCCCCCUACCCCAUCCCCUAGGGAGCGGAAGCCCAGCCCUCGGACCUUGGCCCCUGCCAUUGCUGGGGGCAACAAUUCCUGCCUCACACAGCUCCUCACAGCAGCCAAGCCUGAGCAAGCCCUGGAGCCACCUCUUGUAUCCAACACCCUCCUGCGGCCCCCAAAAUCCCGGGAGACGGUCCCUGAAUUCCCCUGCACCUUCUUUCCCCCGACUCCGGCCCCCACACCACCCCGGCCAUCUCUGGGCCCAGCCACACUGGCCCCUCCCAGGCCCCUGAUUGUCCCCAAAGUAGAGCGGCUGUCACCCCCAGCACCCAGCGGUAAAGAGGGGUUGCAGGGAUUGGAGGACUCUAGGGGUUGGAGGGAGGGGAAGGAAGAAGGGAGGACUAUAUCUGGGGCCAGGACAAGAGGGACAGGUCAAUGGGACCUGCUCCCCUGUGUUGGUCUGUCUGUGGGUCUGUCUGUCUCUGCCACAGGUGGUGAGCGGCGGCUGUCUGGGGAGCUUAACUCCAUGCCGGGCCCAGGGGCUAUGAGUGUCCGAGUCUCUCCGCCUCAGCCCAUUCUAAGCCGGGGUCGUCCAGACAAGACUGAAAACCGACGCAUCACACACAUAUCUGCGGAGCAGAAGCGGCGCUUCAAUAUCAAGUUGGGGUUUGACACCCUGCAUGGGCUGGUGAGCACGCUGAGCACCCAGCCCAGCCUCAAGGUGAGCAAAGCAACGACACUGCAGAAGACGGCCGAGUACAUCACCAUGCUGCAGCAGGAGCGGGCGGCCUUGCAGGAGGAGGCCCAGCAGCUACGGGACCAGAUUGAGGAGCUCAAUGCUGCCAUUAACCUAUGCCAGCAGCAGCUGCCGGCCACUGGGGUGCCCAUCACACACCAGCGUUUCGACCAGAUGCGAGACAUGUUUGAUGACUAUGUCCGGGCCCGCACACUGCACAACUGGAAGUUCUGGGUAUUCAGCAUCCUCAUCCGGCCUCUGUUUGAGUCCUUCAACGGAAUGGUGUCCACGGCAAGCUUGCAGAGCCUCCGUCAGACCUCGUUGGCCUGGCUGGACCAGUACUGCUCCCUGCCUGCUCUCCGGCCAAGUACGUGAGCCACCUACCUGCCCAGUGGGAUGUCCAGGCCUCAGGGCAGAGGAUUCCACUCUGCUCAGACCCCAGCUGUCCUGAACUCUCUCCGCCAGCUGAGCACAUCUACCAGUAUCCUGACGGACCCAGGCUGUAUACCUGAGCAAGCCGCACGGGCAGUCACAGAGGGCAAACCAUUAUAGUGCUGACCAGACCCUGCCAUUCACUCAGCUGCCGUAGGGACUACUUUCCCUGGACGUGGGCUCCAGACACAACUUCUGGGCACUCCCUUCCUGCCCCAGGCCCUGCUUGUCCCCUUUCCUGAGCGUUAAGCAGGACCUUAGCCUCUUCCCACCUCCUGGAAGUCAGAAAACACUGAGUUCCAGUGUCCGCUCUGCCAGUGACUACACUGUGACCUAGGGGACUCAUACUCCAUCCGUGGACCUCCAUUUUCCAGUCUGCAAAAUGGGGGCGAGGAAGCUUCCACCAGAUGAUGAUCCCAAGGCCUGAGCAGCUGUGACACUUGGGCCUAAACUGGCAACUCAAGGAACUUAAAGGAGAAAAUGGGAAGAUCCUAUUCCUCUGUCACUCCCACCUGCUCCCCAACAGGUAGAGCACAUGCCUCUGCUUCUGAGCAGAGAAGCAGAAAAGGGGGUUCUCUCUGUUCCUUCACUGGUAACCUGGGGGCGCUCCAGGAUAGCAUCCCUGGGUGGACGAAGCCUAGAGGUUCUGGUAUCAGAAGAGCACACAGCAGGGGGCGUGGCCAAGCCAAGGCAGGCAUCGUCUGUGUGUGUUUGUGUGUGUGUGUGUGUGUGUGUGUGCGCGCGCGCGUGUGUGUACGUGUUUUGUAGAGCAUUCUUGACCAAUAAAAACAAACUGUCAGGGAUGGUCAGCGUAUCUUGCUCUGGAAUGGAGAGUCGGUUGGCAGUGGGAGGUGGCUUCUGAGCUGGAGAGCCACUGGAGGGCUAUGACUAGAGGUGGGACAAGAUUCGAUACUAACUUCUGAACAGGAUUCCUCUGAGUGCCAAGUUGAGAACAGGCCGCCAUGGGGCGAUGGUAAAAGUAAGGCAGCCAGAUUUAGGCUGUGGCUGUCAUCCAGGCGGGAGAGGACCCUCAUCUUGGAAAUCCUCCCUCCAUGGCCAGGAGAGGGUUCACAGAGGCUCACUACUUUCCAAGUUGGAAGAGGGCAGAGCUGGGAUCCAGGAGUGGAAGUGACAGGGCCACCCAUCAGAACCAUCCAGGAGGAGAAACGUGCUGCUGCAGAGAGCAGUGUUGUCCCCACUGUGCAAGAUGUGCAAACUGACCGGGUGGCCGCUUGGCUGGGAUGUCUUACAAGGAACUGAUACUUCAGAUGGGAGUUGGGGUAAAAGACCCCAACACUUCAUUGAUCCUUUCAUUGAUCCAUUGAACAAAUAUUCCCUGAGGGCCUGCUGUGAAGCAGGCGAUGUCGUGGCUCUCGGGAUUCUGUUCACUGCUGUACUCCUCUCAUGGAGCUGUCCAUUCAGGCCUGGCAAGUUUGAAUCCUCUCAUAUCUCAGAACUUCUGGGGGCAUUUGCCGGAUAUAAACAGUCUUCUGUGGGCUUUGCCCUUCUCAUUCAUAUAGAAUAAUAACAACAACUACAUACCUAUGCAGUGUUUACUACAUGCCAAGUUAUUCUAAGGGCUUUAUCCCUCCCUACCCAAUCCCUACCAUACCUACCUCUACAGGCCUGUUGUGAGGAUUUGAGAGUAAAUAUAAGCCCUGGUCAAGUACCGGGUAGCUCAGUUGCUUAGAGCGUCAUCCCAGUACACCAAGGUUGCAGAUUUAAUCCCCAGUCAGGGCACAUAUAAGAAUCAACCAUGACUGACUGAAUAAAUAGGUGGAAUAACAAAUUAAUAUCUCUCUCUCCCUCUCCUUCCCUACCUCCCUCUCAGAGCAAUUUUUAAAAAUAUAUAAAGCACAACAGUGCCUGGCAAAAAACACUACAUAAGAGUUAUCAUAAUAUCCCUAUUUCAUAGAUGAAAACUUGAGGCACGGAGAGGUUAACUAGCCCCAGGUUGCACACUUAAUGAGGUGCCCACUCAGACUGUCUGACUCAUCUCUGCCAUUAGACACUUCUCUUUACUGUGCAGUGACAGGUGCACACAAACUUAAAAUGC